ACGCCAUUCUGUAUCCUUCUCUACUACUAGAGGCAUGCUUAAUGAUACUAGAUCUUCUAUUUCAAUCUCAGAGCCUGGUUCACACACCGCAAGAACUCGGGUUGAUGGAAAAGAGUUCUUCCGACAAGUCAGGAGCCGAUUAUCUUACGAGCAAUUUGGUGCAUUUCUUGGGAAUGUGAAAGAUCUUAACGCUC